rnacentral:rRNA from 1 species
UCAGACGAUGCGUCAUGCAUAUCAAUAAGCGGAGGAAAAGAAACUAACAAGGAUUCCCCUAGUAACGGCGAGUGAAGCGGGAAGAGCUCAAAUUUGAAAUCUUCAAGGUUUGACCUUGACGAAUUGUAGUUUAAAGAAGUGUUUUCGGUUAGAGGAGUGGUAAAAGUUCUUUGGAAUAGGACAUCAUAGAGGGUGAGAAUCCCGUAUUUGACCAUUCUUUCUAGCUUUGUGAUACACUUUCAAAGAGUCGGAUUGUUUGGGACUGCAGUCCAAAAUGGGUGGUAAAUUUCAUCUAAAGCUAAAUAUUGGCGAGAGACCGAUAGCGAACAAGUACCGUGAGGGAAAGAUGAAAAGAACUUUGAAAAGAGAGUUAAACAGUACGUGAAAUUGUCAAAAGGGUAGCGUUUGACACCAGUGUUGUUUUCUCGAAAAUCAAUUAAAAAAGGCCGGAUUUUGUGUUGUAUUGACUUUAUCAGCUUUCUGCACUUUUUUCUUGUCUUUUUUAAUGCACUUUUCGUUUAACAAGUCAACAUCAAUUUCUUUUGUUGUAAAAGGGUCAUUGGAAGGUGGCUUUCUUUUCGGAGAAAGUGUUUAUAGCCUUUGGCCUCUGCAAUCGGAGAGAUUGAGGUCUGCAGCGUAGAUCCUUCGGGGUUAGAUACAUUUGUGCUAAGUUAUAGCCUUUCAUAGACAACUUGUUGACUAUGAUCAGUCAUGUAGCUUACUCGCUUAUGCUAUUUUACCUACGCUUAGGAUGUUGAUAUGCAUGACUGAUAU